AGUGGAAUUGCUGGGUCAUAUAGUAAUUCUACAUUCAACCUUUUGAGAAUCUGCCAGACCAUUUUCCAUAGUGUCUGCACCAUUUUAUAUUCCCACCAGCAGU
rnacentral:pre_miRNA from 1 species